AUUGAACGCUGGCGGCAGGCCUAACACAUGCAAGUCGAGCGGUAACACAGGGAGCUUGCUCCUGGGUGACGAGCGGCGGACGGGUGAGUAAUGUCUGGGAGACUGCCUGAUGGAGGGGGAUAACUACUGGAAACGGUAGCUAAUACCGCAUAACGUCGCAAGACCAAAGAGGGGGACCUUCGGGCCUCGUGCCAUCAGAUGUGCCCAGAUGGGAUGAGCUAGUAGGUGGUGUAACGGCUCACCUAGGCGACGAUCCCUAUAUGGUCUGAGAGGAUGACCAGCCAGACUGGAGCUGAGACACGGUCAAGACUCCUACGGGAGGGAGCAGUGGGGAAUAUUGCACAAUGGGCGCAAGCCUGACUCAGCCAUACCGCGUGUAUGAAGAAGGCCUUCGGGUUGUAAAGUACUUUCAGCGGGGAGGAAGGCGACAAGGUUAAUAACCUUGUCGAUUGACGUUACCCGCAGAAGAAGCACCGGCUAACUCCGUGCCAGCAGCCGCGGUAA
rnacentral:rRNA from 1 species